UACAGAGGGUGCAAGCGUUAAUCGGAAUUACUGGGCGUAAAGAGCUCGUAGGCGGCUGGUCACGUCGACUGUGAAAACCCGCGGCUCAACCGUGUGGUCUGCAGUCGAUACGGGCUGGCUGGAGUUCGGUAGGGGAGACUGGAAUUCCUGGUGUAGCGGUGAAAUGCGCAGAUAUCAGGAGGAACACCAAUGGCGAAGGCAGCUCACUGGGACGGUAUUGACGCUGAGACGCGAAAGCGUGGGAGGCAAACAGG
rnacentral:rRNA from 1 species